rnacentral:rRNA from 1 species
GCCUACGGCCAUACCACCCUGAGAACGCCCGAUCUCGUCUGAUCUCGGAAGCUAAGCAGGGUCGGGCCCGGGUAGUACUUGGAUGGGAGACCCGGCCUGGGAAUACCGGGUGCUGUAGGGC